rnacentral:rRNA from 1 species
AUUGAACGCUGGCGGCAUGCCUUACACAUGCAAGUCGAACGGUAACGGGCCUUCGGGUGCCGACGAGUGGCGAACGGGUGAGUAAUGUAUCGGAACGUACCUUUCAGUGGGGGAUAACGUAGCGAAAGUUACGCUAAUACCGCAUAUUCUGUGCGCAGGAAAGCAGGGGACCUUCGGGCCUUGCGCUGAUUGAGCGGCCGAUAUCAGAUUAGCUAGUUGGUGAGGUAAAGGCUCACCAAGGCGACGAUCUGUAGCGGGUCUGAGAGGAUGAUCCGCCACACUGGAACUGAGACACGGUCCAGACUCCUACGGGAGGCAGCUGUGGGGAAUUUUGGACAAUGGGGGCAACCCUGAUCCAGCCAUGCCGCGUGAGUGAAGAAGGCCUUCGGGUUGUAAAGCUCUUUCGGCCGGGAAGAAAUCGUAUCAGCUAAUACCUGGUGCGGAUGACGGUACCGGCAUAGGAAGCACCGGCUAACUACGUGCCAGCCGCCGCGGUAAAAC